GGGCGGUUAGCUCAGUGGUUAGAGCGCUUGCUUCACACGCAAGAGGUCACUGGUUCAAGUCCAGUACCGCCCACCA
rnacentral:tRNA from 4 species